UUAUAAUUAUCUUUCACUCUCUUUAAAAGGAUAUCGAUCUCGAUAUCGAUACAUAAAAGAAAUAAUUAUUCGUCAGUCGGUGAUUCUUCCUAUCGCUGAAGGUUGAGUUCACAUAGGAAUGAUGAGUUCACGAAUGAUAAUGCUUUUUCAACGGUCGCUAUGGUUACGCCAGCCUACUGAAAAUUCAACAAUGAAUCGAAAAGCAGGGAAAUGUAUUGAACGUUCCAUAAACAUAAAAACUAUUCUAUCAAUUAUUGAAUGUUAAUUUUAACGAUUUCAUUACGAUCCUGGCACAUCAAAUAAUGAUUAGAAUGAAAUUGAAAACGCUUUGAAUGUAUUUAAGGAACUUUUCCGAAUGAGUUUAUUCGUUAAUAGACAUGGAACUGAAACAGAUAGCAUACCUUAUCUUCGCACUCAUUGCAACAAAGUAUUAUUAUCAAGAAGGACCGUAUACUAUCAUGGAGGAUGAUUUAAUGGAACCACACAUAGUGGACCCCCCAUAUGUUUGAUCGCUCGUGUGCAAUCCAUGUAAUGCCGCUCUAUAAAUACUUAUGCUGAGUUUUGUCAAAAGAGGGCUCAUUAUGAUGGAAAAUAAAUAAAAAUUUAUUGAAGAUGAAA